rnacentral:rRNA from 1 species
AUCGGAGACAGGUGCUGCAUGGCUGUCGUCAGCUCGUGUCGUGAGAUGUUGGGUUAAGUCCCGCAACGAGCGCAACCCUCGCCCUUAGUUGCCAGCAUUUAGUUGGGCACUCUAGGGGGACUGCCGGUGAUAAGCCGAGAGGAAGGUGGGGAUGACGUCAAGUCCUCAUGGCCCUUACGGGCUGGGCUACACACGUGCUACAAUGGUGGUGACAGUGGGCAGCGAGACCGCGAGGUCGAGC